GAUGAACGCUAGCGGCAGGCUUAAUACAUGCAAGUCGAGGGGCAGCGCAGUGUAGCAAUACAUGGGCGGCGACCGGCAAACGGGUGCGGAACACGUACAGAACCUUCCUUCGAGCGGGGAAUAGCCCAGAGAAAUUUGGAUUAAUACCCCACUAGUAUAUUGAUAAGGCAUCUUAUUAAUAUUAAAGAUUAUUCACUUGUAAGAUGGCUGUGCGGCUGAUUAGGA
rnacentral:rRNA from 1 species